rnacentral:rRNA from 1 species
UGCGAAGGUGGCAAGCGUUACUCGGAAUUACUAGGCGUAAAGGGCAGGUAGGUGGUUCGGUAAGUCUGUUGUGUCAGCUCCCGGCUUAACUGGGAGAGGUCAACGGAAACUACCGGGCUUGAGUAUAGGAGAGGGUACUGGAAUUCCCGGUGUAGCGGUGAAAUGCGCAGAUAUCGGGAGGAACACCAAUGGCGAAAGCAGGCACCUGGACUAUUACUGACACUCAGCUGCGAAAGCUAGGGGAGCAAACAGG